rnacentral:rRNA from 1 species
GCGGCGUGCGUAAUACAUGCAAGUCGAGCGGACCUUCGGGUCAGCGGCGGACGGGUGAGGAACACGUGAGUGAUCGAGCGAGGAGUGGGGGAUAUCGGGCCGAAAGGCGCGGCAAUCCCGCAUACGUUCCGGGAGACCGGAAGAAAGCCGGGGAACUGGCGCUCCUUGGGGAGCUCGCGGCCCAUUAGCUAGUUGGGGGGGUAAGGGCCUCCCAAGGCGACGAUGGGUAGCCGGCCUGAGAGGGUGAUCGGCCACACUGGGACUGAGACACGGCCCAGACUCCUACGGGAGGCAGCAGUAGGGAAUCUUCCACAAUGGGCGCAAGCCUGAUGGAGCAACGCCGCGUGAGUGAAGACGGCCUUCGGGUUGUAAAGCUCUGUCUGUCGGGACGAAGACCGGCCCGGGAGGGCCGGGGAGCCGGUACCGGCGGAGGAAGCCCCUGCAAACUACGUGCCAGCAGCCGCGGUAAGACGUAGGGGGCAAGCGUUGUCCGGAAUGACUGGGCGUAAAGGGCGUGUAGGCGGUGCGAUACGUAGCGGUUUUAAGCCUCCGGCUCACCCGGAGGAGGGCGGCUAAACGGUCGGACUGGAGGGCAGGAGAGGUGCGUGGAAUUCCUGGUGGAGCGGUGAAAUGCGUAGAGAUCAGGAAGAACACCCGUGGCGAAGGCGGCGCACUGGCCUGGCCCUGACGCUGAGGCGCGACAGCGUGGGGAGCGAACGGGAUUAGAUACCCCGGUAGUCCACGCCGUAAACGAUGGGUACUAGGUGUCGCCCGGGUCCACCGGGCGGUGCCGGAGCUAACGCACUAAGUACCCCGCCUGGGGAGUACGGCCGCAAGGUUGAAACUCAAAGGAAUUGACGGGGGCCCGCACAAGCAGUGGAGCAUGUGGUUUAAUUCGACGCAACGCGCAGAACCUUACCAGGACUG